CGCGAUAGGUAAUGUGAAUUGCAGAAUUCCGUGAAUCAUCGAAUCUUUGAACGCACCUUGCGCUCCAUGGUAUUCCGUGGAGCAUGCCUGUUUGAGUGCCGCGAAUUCUCCCUCCCCUUACGGUGGCCGAAAGGCCGAAGUAGGGCGGACGGGGUAGGAUGGGUGUUUGCUGCCUGGGGAUUGUACCAGGCUCGCCCGAAAUGCAUAAGCGCCAGGACCCUCGCUACCGCUCUCUAGGGAAGAGUGGCUAAGCGACCGCUGAGCAUGGCAUGAUACGUCAUUUGCUGUGUGUGGGCGGCCGGUUGGAGAGGUGUCUGCUUUACCAGCCCUAUUUUAAUUCUGGUCUCAAAUCAGGUAGGAUCACCCGCU
rnacentral:rRNA from 1 species